CUAACAACACACAACAUUCCAGGAAUGUACUACCAAAGUUCUAUCAAUAUUUGAAUGUCCUGGACAUUUAGGGAACAUUCGGUGAACAUCUGAUUAAAUUAUUCCUGGAAUGUUACCAUAAGACAUUCUGUGAACAUACUACCAAUGUUGCUAUAUGUUCAUUUUCAAAUUCACGGCGCAUGUAUUUGUGCAUGGUGCUUAGAGAGGGCAUCACGUGACUAAAAACGACCAAUGACCUCACUUCGGACUUCGGCGCUUCGGCCAUCUUGGCAUGCAUCUUGGCCUUGGCCGUUGGCCACCUUGCCGUGAUCGUUGUUUGUUUUUAUUUGUGCUUUUUAAGAAUAUUUUUUUAAUUCGGAUACUUUUAUAAUAACUUUAAUAGUAUUAUUAACAGUGCAUAAAAUCAGUUGGAGUAGCAGAAGCAAUGUAGAUAAAAAAUCUGCAGGAAUAACGUUUCAAAGCUUUCCAGAAGAUCCUGCGAAGAAGGCAUGAAGUAUUGAUCAGAUUUGUUAAUAGAGCAGUAUGUUCAAAACAUUUUUUAGAAAAAGAUAUUGACAGAACUUCACUUUCAACUGUUCGUUUGAGAGACCGUGCUGUUCCAAUAGCUUAUAUCACACAGAAUCAGCUGAGAGAAGUGGUCUACAAAAAACCAGGAAGGAAAUGGAAUAUGUGGCUAUGAAAGGCAAAAGAAAAGUUUACAAAGCAAAUGUGACACAUUUUUUUAUAGGAAUAUCAGUAAAUUACAUUAAAAGAUUUUUUACAAUAAAAAUGUUUAUAUUUAUCAAGGAUGUAUUAUUUGGUAUGGCCACAUAUCGUCAGUGAUGUGACAAUACCUUCUAUCUGUUUUUUCAUGAGAUUUGUAAGAUAGACUAAAAACUUGUUUGGGCCACCUCCUGUUUUCAUAUA